UACAGAGGGGGCAAGCGUUAUUCGGAAUUAUUGGGCGUAAAGGGCGCGUAGGCGGCCUGGCAAGUGGAAGGUGAAAUCCCUCGGCUUAACCGAGGAACUGCCCUCCAAACUGCCUGGCUUGAGUCCGGGAGAGGUGAGUGGAAUUCCCAGUGUAGCGGUGAAAUGCGUAGAUAUUGGGAGGAACACCAGUGGCGAAGGCGGCUCACUGGACCGGAACUGACGCUGAGGCGCGAAAGCGUGGAGAGCAAACGGG
rnacentral:rRNA from 1 species